CCGAAUGGGGGAACCCGGCAUAUUGAAGAUAUGUCACACCGCAAGGUGAGCAAACCCGGAGAACUGAAACAUCUAAGUACCCGGAGGAGAAGAAAACAAAAGUGAUUCCGUAAGUAGCGGCGAGCGAACGCGGAGUAGCCCAAACCAGUGUUGUUACGGCAAUACUGGGGUAAUAGGACCUCGACAUUUGAUGCUUGCAGAACUAGAAUCUACUGGAAAGUAGGACCACAGAGGGUGAUAGUCCCGUAUAGGUAAUAAGAGUAAUUGAUAGAGGUAUCCUGAGUAGUGCGGGGCACGUGAAACCUUGCACGAAUUUGCCGGGACCAUCCGGUAAGGCUAAAUACUCCUGAGAGACCGAUAGGAACC
rnacentral:rRNA from 1 species